CUACAUGUUUUUACCGAUUAAUCGUGAUUAAACGGAAAUCGGCGGGGGCUGGUUUUUGAGGGGUUACCGGUUUGGUGCGUUUUCAUUUCCCCGCCGCCUCCAGAUCACGACUCUGUCCUUCCCAAUUCUCAGGCAACCCCGUCGUCUUCCGCCAUGAUCCGGUUCAUCCUGCUGCAGAACCGGCAGGGGAAAACACGGCUGGCCAAGUACUAUGUCGCUCUCGAGGACUCCGAGAAGCACAAGGUUGAGUACGAGGUGCAUCGGCUCGUGGUCAACCGGGACCCCAAGUUCACCAACUUCGUCGAGUUCCGCACGCACAAAGUUAUAUAUAGGAGAUAUGCAGGACUUUUUUUCUCUAUAUGUGUGGACAUCACCGACAACGAAUUGGCAUACUUGGAAUGUAUCCAUCUGUUUGUUGAGAUAUUGGACCAUUUCUUCAGCAAUGUGUGUGAACUUGAUUUAGUAUUUAAUUUCCACAAGGUUUACUUGAUAUUGGAUGAGUUCAUUCUUGCUGGAGAGCUUCAAGAAACAAGCAAAAGGCUCCUAGACUUCUCGUUCCAGAAUCCAGACUUCACUAGUACACCGGCUGACCGGCGACCAUCUGUGCGCGCUGUGCGGUUUUAGUUCCAGAAUCCAGAGUUCCAGACUUCACCGGCCCAGAUUUCUCGUCCAGACACGCGCGAACAACAGGUGGAAGGGGAGCUACAGGUGAUGAAUUUCAGUUGGAUGAAGAUCUUCUUUAGGCAAUUAUAGAGAGGAUGGGCGAGCUUGAGAAGCUGGAAUGAAAAGAAACAAUGGUGUAGUGUACAUUAGCAAUUUAGCAUAGGUCCGGAGCUAGUUCUGCCCAAUCGACAAAUUACCUCCAUAUUUUUCACAAUUCUUUGUACCUGUUGUGCAUCAUCUUUGCUUCACUUAAACCUUUAUCAAGCCGUGAAUCGGUGUAUGUCUUUUUAACGUUUCCUGAGGUUACUGAGGGUUUUUGAACUGCAUGUGAGGAUUUUAGUUUGAUGGCAAAGCGAAAGAUCCACCGCAUGAAGAAAGGAUAUGUGUCUGUAUGCU